AUUGAACGCUGGCGGCAGGCCUAACACAUGCAAGUCGAGCGAGCGGCGGACGGGUGAGUAAUGUCUGGGAAACUGCCUGAUGGAGGGGGAUAACUACUGGAAACGGUAGCUAAUACCGCAUACCAUCAGAUGUGCCCAGAUGGGAGUAGCUAGUAGGUGGGGUAACGGCUCACCUAGGCGACGAUGCCUAGCUGGUCUGAGAGGAUGACCAGCCACGCUGGAACAGAGACACGGUCCAGACUCCUGCGGGAGGCAGCGGUGGGGAAUAUUGCACAAAGGGCGAAAGCCUGAUGCAGCCAUGCCGCGUGUGUGAAGAAGGCCUUCGUGUUGUAAAGCACUUUCAGCGGGGAGGCGUUAACCGAAGAAGAAGCACCGGCUAACUCCGUGCCAGCAGCCGCGGUAAUAC
rnacentral:rRNA from 1 species